AGUGGCGGACGGGUGAGUAAUGUCUGGGAAACUGCCUGAUGGAGGGGGAUAACUACUGGAAACGGUAGCUAAUACCGCAUAACGUCGCAAGACCAAAGAGGGGGACCUUCGGGCCUCUUGCCAUCAGAUGUGCCCAGAUGGGAUUAGCUAGUAGGUGGGGUAACGGCUCACCUAGGCGACGAUCCCUAGCUGGUCUGAGAGGAUGACCAGCCACACUGGAACUGAGACACGGUCCAGACUCCUACGGGAGGCAGCAGUGGGGAAUAUUGCACAAUGGGCGCAAGCCUGAUGCAGCCAUGCCGCGUGUAUGAAGAAGGCCUUCGGGUUGUAAAGUACUUUCAGCGGGGAGGAAGGUGAUGAGGUUAAUAACCUCGUCAAUUGACGUUACCCGCAGAAGAAGCACCGGCUAACUCCGUGCCAGCAGCCGCGGUAAUACGGAGGGUGCAAGCGUUAAUCGGAAUUACUGGGCGUAAAGCGCACGCAGGCGGUCUGUCAAGUCGGAUGUGAAAUCCCCGGGCUCAACCUGGGAACUGCAUUCGAAACUGGCAGGCUAGAGUCUUGUA
rnacentral:rRNA from 1 species